CCUGAAUGUCUCAAUAAUAGUCACAUCAUGUUUCAGACUUCACUUUGCAGGUACCUUUGGCAAAGGACUUUGUUCUAAGCAAAUAUUUUCUUAAAACCUGCGUUUGAUUCUCUUUUUUUUGUGUGUGUGUGUUCCAAAAGGACCAGUGACCAGAAAUCAGGCAUGUACUGUACAAGUUAGACGUUUUGGUCUCAUCAGAUUUGCACCAGUGGUGCUCUUGAAGUUCAAGUGUCUCUGUGAGCAUACAACUAGAUGCCAAAUGAUUUGUGAUGAGACCAGAAUUGAUAAAUAUGAUGACUGUUGUGCAUCAUCUACUUAUCUGAAGUUGCACUUUGGGAUGUCUGCCUUUGGCACAGAAACUCCAAGAAAUCAUUGGUUCAUAAUGUAUGCUUUGUUUUUUAUUUAGCUUAAACAAUAUACAACAACAACAACUGUGUUUCAAACAGUGUACGUUGCUAAGGAUACCUGCAGAAAUACAGGGUUAAGUCUAAAACCUGAUACCUGUCUAUACUGGGAAUUCUGGGAAACAUGACUUCUCUAGUUUCUGUGCCCAAGGCUUGCUUCCCAAAGUCCAAUAAGUGAUAUGCACGUGAUGCACAGAAUAUAUGUGGAAUGAUAUGACAACUUAAUGAAAACACAAAACACAUACAUAGAAAAUCACCAUCACAAAAUGGAAAAUAAGAGGAAACCAACAGAGUGCAUUAUAAAUAGAGAUGAGCGGACACCUGGAUGUUUGAAUUAAGUACAUCCUUAUUCAUUUAUUAAUCUGCAAUUUGUAUUUCCAUUUCCACUGAGUCCUGUAUUUAUUAUUGAUUUAUUUCAAUAAGCACUCAACACUUUUUUAUAUUUUUAACCCCCGGUGGUGGUCAUCUUUUACAAGUGAUACAGUGGUUAUGGUUGUCACAUCCAAUCUUGAGAUCUAACUUUAGAAGGAUACUCUACCAUUUGUUGGUGUUUAUUCAUCGUAUAGUUGCAUAUUUACCUGGAUUCGGCCGAACUUCGAAUUUUUGGGCACUAAAAUGGCUCUAAAAAAGUCCUGGAAAGGGCUAGAGAGCCUCAAAAGGACGUAAAAUAGGGGGUAAGAGUAGGACAAGUGCCCUGCAAACAAAUGUGGAUAGGGAAAUAACUUAAAAUAAC